GCAUCGAUAGUUUAGGGGUAGAAUUGAAGCUUCCCAUGCUCUGGUAUCUGCUUCAGGCACGGGUUCGAGUCCCGUUCGAUGCA